rnacentral:rRNA from 1 species
GAUGAACGCUAGCGGCGGGCUUAACACAUGCAAGUCGAGGGGUAGAGGUUGCUUGCAACCUUGAGACCGGCGCACGGGUGCGUAACGCGUAUGCACCCUACCUUUUACAGAGGGAUAGCCCAGCGAAAUUUGGAUUAAUACCACAUAGUAUAUAACCUUCGCAUGUUGUUUAUAUUAAAGUUCCAACGGUAAAAGAUGGGCAUGCGUCCUAUUGGCUAGAUGGUAAGGUAACGGCUUACCAUGGCAACGAUAGGUAGGGGUCCUGAGAGGGAGAUCCCCCACACUGGUACUGAGACACGGACCAGACUCCUACGGGAGGCAGCAGUGAGGAAUAUUGGACAAUGGGCGCAAGCCUGGUCCAGCCAUGCCGCGUGCAGGAAGAAGCAUCUAUGGUGUGUAAACUGCUUUUGUACAGGAAGAAACACCCCGACGUGUCGGGACUUGACGGUACUGUAAGAAUAAGGAUCGGCUAACUCCGUGCCAGCAGCCGCGGUAAAAC